UCGCAGAAUUUCAAUAAAAACUUUUACGAUUAUUUUUUGGUAUAAAAGCCCAUACUGGAUAGGGUAAAAAUCACAAACUCAACUAGCAAUUCAGCCAAGAAGUUUCAGUAAUAUUCGAAAUGAAAUUCACAAUCCUCUUCGCACUUUUCGCUGUUAUCGUAGCGUCAUUUCUUGGAUUAGUUUCAGCCGAUGAUAUAAAAGCUGAUUCGAAAAUAGAUGGAAAACGAAUUAUUACCGCACAGUCUAACUGUCCAGAAGGACAAGUCGCUGACGGCAUAGGAAAUUGCAGAGAUGUCUACUAAAUCAUGGAAAAAGUGAAUUAUGAAUACCUUAAUACCUGAAAUUAUAUUGCUUGUUUUCAAUGAAAUUAAAUGAUAGCACUGCA